rnacentral:rRNA from 1 species
UACAGAGGGGGCAAGCGUUGUUCGGAAUUACUGGGCGUAAAGGGCGCGUAGGCGGCCUUCUAAGUCGAACGUGAAAUCCCCGGGCUCAACCCGGAAACUGCGUCCGAUACUGGAAGGCUUGAAUCCGGGAGAGGGAUGCGGAAUUCCAGGUGUAGCAGUGAAAUGCGUAGAUAUCUGGAGGAACACCGGUGGCGAAAGCGGCAUCCUGGACCGGCAUUGACGCUGAGGCGCGAAAGCCAGGGGAGCAAACGGG